rnacentral:rRNA from 1 species
UACGGAGGGUGCAAGCGUUAUCCGGAAUCACUGGGUUUAAAGGGUGCGUAGGCGGCUUAGUAAGUCAGGAGUGAAAGCCUGCGGCUUAACCGUAGAAAUGCUUUUGAUACUGCUGAGCUUGAAUUAGGUUGAGGUUGGCGGAAUGUGACAUGUAGCGGUGAAAUGCAUAGAUAUGUCAUAGAACACCAAUUGCGAAGGCAGCUGCCUAGACCUGAAUUGACGCUGAGGCACGAAAGCGUGGGGAGCGAACAGG